GACGAACUCUGGCGGCGUGCUUAACACAUGCAAGUCGAACGGUAAGGCUCCAGCUUGCUGGGGUACACGAGUGGCGAACGGGUGAGUAACACGUGGGUGACCUGCCCUGCACUUCGGGAUAAGCCCGGGAAACUGGGUCUAAUACCGGAUAGGACCGCACCGUGAGGGUGUGGUGGAAAGUUUUUUCGGUGUGGGAUGGGCCCGCGGCCUAUCAGCUUGUUGGUGGGGUAAUGGCCUACCAAGGCGGCGACGGGUAGCCGGCCUGAGAGGGUGGACGGCCACAUUGGGACUGAGACACGGCCCAGACUCCUACGGGAGGCAGCAGUGGGGAAUAUUGCACAAUGGGCGGAAGCCUGAUGCAGCGACGCCGCGUGGGGGAUGACGGCCUUCGGGUUGUAAACUCCUUUCACCAUCGACGAAGGGUUUCUGACGGUAGAUGGAGAAGAAGCACCGGCUAACUACGUGCCAGCAGCCGCGGUAAUACGUAGGGUGCGAGCGUUGUCCGGAAUUACUGGGCGUAAAGAGCUCGUAGGUGGUUUGUCGCGUCGUCUGUGAAAUUCCGGGGCUUAACUCCGGGCGUGCAGGCGAUACGGGCAUAACUUGAGUACUGUAGGGGAGACUGGAAUUCCUGGUGUAGCGGUGAAAUGCGCAGAUAUCAGGAGGAACACCGGUGGCGAAGGCGGGUCUCUGGGCAGUAACUGACGCUGAGGAGCGAAAGCAUGGGGAGCGAACAGGAUUAGAUACCCUGGUAGUCCAUGCCGUAAACGGUGGGCGCUAGGUGUGGGUUUCCUUCCACGGGAUCCGUGCCGUAGCUAACGCAUUAAGCGCCCCGCCUGGGGAGUACGGCCGCAAGGCUAAAACUCAAAGGAAUUGACGGGGGCCCGCACAAGCGGCGGAGCAUGUGGAUUAAUUCGAUGCAACGCGAAGAACCUUACCUGGGCUUGACAUAUACAGGAUCGCGCCAGAGAUGGUGUUUCCCUUGUGGCUUGUAUACAGGUGGUGCAUGGUUGUCGUCAGCUCGUGUCGUGAGAUGUUGGGUUAAGUCCCGCAACGAGCGCAACCCUUGUCUUAUGUUGCCAGCACGUUGUGGUGGGGACUCGUAAGAAACUGCCGGGGUUAACUCGGAGGAAGGUGGGGAUGACGUCAAAUCAUCAUGCCCCUUAUGUCCAGGGCUUCACACAUGCUACAAUGGUCGGUACAGUGGGUUGCCAGUCCGUGAGGGCGAGCUAAUCCCGCAAAGCCGGUCUCAGUUCGGAUCGGGGUCUGCAACUCGACCCCGUGAAGUCGGAGUCGCUAGUAAUCGCAGAUCAGCAACGCUGCGGUGAAUACGUUCCCGGGCCU
rnacentral:rRNA from 1 species